rnacentral:rRNA from 1 species
UACGAAGGGGGCUAGCGUUGUUCGGAAUCACUGGGCGUAAAGCGCACGUAGGCGGAUCUUUAAGUCAGGGGUGAAAUCCCGAGGCUCAACCUCGGAACUGCCUUUGAUACUGGGGAUCUCGAGUCCGGGAGAGGUGAGUGGAACUGCGAGUGUAGAGGUGAAAUUCGUAGAUAUUCGGAAGAACACCAGUGGCGAAGGCGGCUCACUGGUCCGGUACUGACGCUGAUGUGCGAAAGCGUGGGGAGCAAACAGGG